AACGAACGCUGGCGGCAGGCUUAACACAUGCAAGUCGAACGCUCGUAGCAAUACGGGAGUGGCGGACGGGUGAGUAACGCGUGGGAACGUGCCCUGAGGUACGGAAUAACUGCGGGAAACUGCAGCUAAUACCGUAUGAGCCCCGCAAGGGGAAAGGAUUUAUCGCCUUGGAGCGGCCCGCGUCGGAUUAGCUAGUUGGUGGGGUAACGGCCUACCAAGGCUUCGAUCCGUAGCUGGUCUGAGAGGACGAUCAGCCACACUGGGACUGAGACACGGCCCAGACUCCUACGGGAGGCAGCAGUGGGGAAUCUUGCGCAAUGGGGGCAACCCUGACGCAGCCAUGCCGCGUGAAUGAUGAAGGCCUUAGGGUUGUAAAGUUCUUUUGCCCGUGACGAUGAUGACGGUAACGGGAGAAUAAGCUCCGGCUAACUUCGUG
rnacentral:rRNA from 1 species